UAUGCGGGGUAUACUCUUACCCCUUUUCCAUCUCCGUAUUCACUGUUCAAAGAAUCCAUCCAUUUCCAACAGCUUCCCCAUCACUGCGCUUUCUGUUUCGCAAGUUUGAAGCAUUUUAGCUCGAAUAGUCCAUAUAUCACAGCUCAACGAUUAUUCUAGUGAAGCGCAAGAACGUAUGGUCGUAUGGCUGAUGUCGUUGGAUUUUCAUCAGAGAAGAGCUCUCCAACAAAUGAAGGCAACCGGUUAACUCUCUAGGCAUUGAUGAAGGCAACCGGUUAACUCUCUAACCAUUGAUGACGGAAUUGGCGCCAAAAUUUGUGGCCAUUUGGGUUUUGCUUUAUUAUAUAUAAAGAUUUCUCUCAUACGAUGUCCAGUUGAGGUGAUUCAAGCCGCUACAGAAAGCUAAGAGAUUAAGUGAGUGUUCUAUAACUUUUUAUGAUAAAAGUUUUCUCAAAUUUGAAACGCAACACGUCUAAAAUUAAACCCGAAGUUCGAUGCGUCAAGCUAGCGACACGACGGUGACACGCCCAUGUAUGUCGCAUGGGCGCCUUUUCUAUGCAGAAGUAUACAGGUCCAUGACACAACCAUGUUUUGUGGACAAGUCACGGUCAAUGUAUGACGCAUGAAUGAAGUAUUUAAGCUCGUUUUUUGGAUCUUUUUGAGGACUUUUCGAUCGUAGACUUCAAGAAACGUUACAAGACACUUUUUGAAGCUUCAAUCACUAAUUAGUAUCUCACGGGUCUCAAUCCGUCAGACGGGUCAGAUCUUUGAUGAAUGUAUCAGAUCUUUAACCUCAUUAAUCAAAAAUCUGACCCAUCUUUCGGAUUGAGACUCGUGGGACGAUCUCGAUCACACAAGUUUUUGCCCAUGAGAAUAUAGAAAAAAAAAAAGUGGUAGUAUUUCAUUACCCAACCCUACAAAGUACACUUUGCAAAUUAAAUGCAUUAUGUAGUGUUGUUAAGUGUGAUAUCACAUAAACUUAAAACAUGCACUUACCAACACUACAAAGUGUACUUUUUAGAAGAAUUUUAAAGUAUAUUUUUGCAACACUAUAGAGUGCUCUUUCAUAUAACAAUGGAUGCAUACUGCAUGUGCAACAUUUUUCAUUAAGACAUGCAUAUAGUUGUGGUGCAAGUUAUUGUGGCUAUUAAGUUGUAACAUUAAGUUUGUAACUGAAAUAACGAUUUUCAUUACAAUUAAUAGCCUAUAAUGAUAGCA